rnacentral:lncRNA from 1 species
GCAGAUCUGUUGCCAAAUAAACCCUGGCCAAAUAAGCGUAUGCCAACUUCCUUAUGUUUCAGUUUAGGAAAGGGAGCGCUCCGAUUCUGUACACGUUCUUGUAUGCGAGAAACUUCAUGUACCUGUGGAGUGUUUGGCGAGCAAGAGCGUGGUGAGAACUGCGGGUGCACAAUCACAGCUCGGAGACAGACUGGGAAGGAGUACGUUAUUGGCAGGAUUUUAUUGGCAAGGUUAGUGUCGCUUAAGUGUAAGAUGGAAAGCCCUUAAUUUGGGUAGUGCUGGGCACCACUAUGGUUUUCAUAUGAGCAAACACAUUCACAUGAGCGUGUGGCCCAUGGUGAUAGAGGCAUGACUCACCUCGUCGUAGAGUCUGAUAACUCAUAACCUAAAAUGCCUGUUGCCUAUAAAAGGGGGUGACUAGGCAGAGGGGGGUCCAGUUGAGAGCCUGUUCCUAGCCCCAGGGCUAGGAUGGCUCCCACCUAACCUUAGACUUUCACUACAACAAUGUGUUAGGUGGGAGCCAUCCCAGCCCACGAACUGGGACUGCUGGUGCCCUUGGUCUUGGGUCACCUAUCUGGAGCGGGCAACAGUUUGCUACAUGGAGCAGCAGCAUCUCCACUCUCUCUCUUUGCUCAUGCUGCCCAAGCUCAGCUCUUGCUGCUCUCUUUAACUUUUUAACUUUUUUUUUUAAUUUCUGUAUUUAUUUUUUGAAAUAAUUCUUUCAUUCACCUCCUGUUUCAGACAAGGCAGCUGGUUUGGCUGUCACUAUGAGCUUGGGAGAGGCACUAUCAGAGUUUUUGACAUUUAUCUCAAAGGUCUGUAAUCAAUGCAAUUGUCUUGGGUGGGGAGUUAGAGCAAUCUGGUCACCAGUGGGUUUUGAAAUUGCUUUUCCUGUGAUUUAUGGUUUGAGAUUUCAGUCCAGCAUCUUAUGUAUGUGUGAUAUAGGCUGUGGGGCUGGAUCCAGUGAGUAGAAUUUAGGGCUGUUCAGGGCAGCAGGGUGAUUUAUAGAAAAGGACCUUAUUUAGAAAUAGAAAAAGACAGGCUGGAGA